AUAAUCAAAUAUUUCGAUUUCUCAUAGUUACAUGUCACCUCUCGCAAGUCACAGGACUCGUCGUGACUCGAGUCGCUUCCUUCCCUCUUGCUUGCAGUCUCCGCCCAUUUUUGUAGCACAGAAAAAAAAAAAACUAAUUUUCAUUUUUCAAUUCAAAGUCUGUGACUCUCAUCGAUCCAUAUAACACAACAAAACAACAAAAUUUAACACGGAAAAAAAAAGGAAUGUGUAAGCAAGUAUCCAAGAGAAUAGAAGAAAACCGAGCUUACUGAGUUACUUGGAGCUCCGAGACCUUUCGAAGAUCGAAUUAGCGGAAGAAAACAAAACUUCAGCUAACAAGAAAUCCCGAGAAGUCGAAGCGAGAGGGGCGGUGUGCACUCGAGUAGGGUGAGCAAAAUGUGGAGAUCUAAAGCGGGUCUUGUGAGCUUGUGGCAUAGCGGCAUGGUGGAUGUUUUGCAUAAUGUAGAUCGUUAGGGUUUCGUAUGGUAUGGGUCUUAGAAUUUGAGCAGUGGUGUUAGGAUUUCUUAUGGCAUGGACCCUUGAAUUUGUAGAUCGUUAGGGUUUCGGGUAUGAAGAAGAAGAAGGAUAUCGCCAGAGAGAUGAGGCGGCUGACCAUGGAUUUAGGAGUUAGGGAAUUUUAUGUUUAUGUUGAUUUAGGGUUUCUUGCUUUUGC
rnacentral:lncRNA from 1 species